GGGCUGUGAGAGUCUUGGUGGGAAGUGUCGAAGCUGGGGGGGCGGCCCUGGGGGCUCGGGUCCUCCCCGUCAGUGCCCCUGCCCCGGGGGCUUCAUAUCCCCCUAGAGAAGUGCUGUGAAAGGAGGGGCUCCUGGCAGGGAAGAUUGGAGCAUCUCCCCACAGCGCUGGCUCCCAGGGGCCCCCAGGGCAGGUCCCUCGGGGCGGCACCUACCUGGACUGCAUUUGGGGCAGCACUCGGUCCCCACUGGGUACUCCUCCUCUUUGCACUGGGGCGUCGCCAGGGUGUAGCGGGGGGACCCCAGAAGGAGGAGAUACAAGGCCUGGAGGGGACAGAUGGGGCGUUGGAGGGGAGCAGCAGCCCAGGCUGCCCCGGAGCCUCGAUAUCAGCCUCUGUGAAAUGGGGCAGCAGCAGCCCCAUAGCUGGAGGUGGCCUGGGAGGGAGGACACAGGUGGGGCCCGACAGGCUCUGGGAAUCAUCCAGGACAGCCCUGGCGUUAGGUGGGGACUGGCCCGUCUCCUGCCUCUGUCCCCAAGUCCACCAGCAUGGUACCCCAAGGACUGGGUCUCUGCUCUCACCAGGGACCACACUCCCUGGGAAGCCCUGAGCCACUCUGGGCUGGACAACUGGCCAUCCUGCCUCUGGCCUGUGCUGGGCCCGCUGAGCCCUGGGGACCCAGCAGGGUCAGAGCAGGACGACCGUCAGGGGCUCACAGGCCAGGCACGGGAGACAGGCUGUUCAGGGCCCGGGCUGGGGUGGGCCAUGAGGGGGCCCAGGGCCCAGGGCUGACUCUGCUAACCCUGAAGUUUCCGCCUGGGCUGGCAGGAAGCCACACGGGCAAGCAGGCUCUCCCCCCCGGCCUGGCCCUGGACUCCACCCUACUCACACAGACACGGACUUUAUCUCCCAGGACAGGGAGGGGCUGAGGGUGGAGAUUAGCCACCUGCUGGGGGCUCCCACCCCAGGGCGGGAACAGCUCAGGCAUCCAAGAACAGCCGGGCCCCGGAGGCACCCUCACCCUGUGCUGGGGGCUCACCUUCGUCCCCUGAGUGGGGUUUCGGGGACGAGGCCCACCAGGAGCUGUUCUAUGGCUUUCCUGUCUGUCUGCUCCCCUACCCCAGGGCCAGGGUGAGUGGGUGACAGAGGGCUGGGUCAGCCUAGGAGAGCCGGGCAGCUGGGGGACAAGGGCAGGACAGGGACAUCGUGGGCAGGGAUGGGGAAGAGGGUACACCCAGGGGCAGGAAUAGGGGCGCUGGGGCGCGGCUGGACAGACAGGCAGGCUCAGGAGACUCACCAGGCUCAGGGCAUCAGCCUUGGGUGCCGGGCUCCAUGGGGGUGGCCCCCAGCCUCGCAGAGGCUCCAUGUCUCUCCUCACGACCCCUCAUUCCCUGGCUGCUGUCCCUAGCCCCCUGCCAGCAGGACGAGCUUUAGCACUUGGGCUUCCUGCUGCCUCGCUGGCUGAAAGAGAAAGAGAAACUGCAGCAGGAGCCAGCGAGGACGGCCUUCGGGGUGAUCUCAGGAAGUAUUCGUCUCCAGUCCCCAAGCAUGUGCCAUUGGGGCCCUAGGCUGCCAGGGGAUCAGGACCCCACAGUGACAGGCAGGGAGGGCCCUGGGAUGCAGUCUGCAGUUGGCAGGACCAGCGGUCCAGAGCAGAGGUCAGGGCAGGGGGAGGGGCGCAGCAUAGGCGGCAGGGGGGAUCUCCUGCUGACCCUAGAGAGCCAGCCUGCAGCUCCUGACAGCAGGAGCCAAGAGGAACCUCCUUGGCUGUGUCUUACCUGUCUCUGUUGAAAAGGGGGGACCCUACGUCUAUGGAAAGGGGGAACCAGCGUCUAUGGAAAGGCGGGAUCCUGCUUCUACGGAAAGGGGGCCCAGCCACUUCAAGGAAACCCCGCCUCCCAGCAGUGCAUUCUGGGCGUGUCCACCCUCUGCCUGGGGCUGGGUCAGGCUGGUUUCCACCUGCACAGCCCUGCGCACGUCUCUGCAGAAGGUGACCCUUCCCCAAUCCCAGGAGGCUGGGGGUCGCUGAGUCCCCAUCAGGGUGAGAAGGGGGACAUUUUGUGAGCACCCACAGGGGCCCCCACUGUGUCCACCCCCACCUGUCCUGGGACGGGGUGGGAGUGGCUAUCUCCUGCUCUCAUUUCACAGGUGGGGACCUGGGGCUCAGAAACGGACAGGGCCUUGCCCAGGGUCUCCCAUGUGCAAACUGUGCUCAGCCUCAAACCCCAACCUUCCUGUGCAGACGGGGUUCUCCCCACUCCACCUUCCCUGGAGCCAUGGCCAUCUCCCGAGCUGGGGGACAGGAGGGCAGGCCUGGGAGAGCAGACCCUCAUACACACACCUGGUGCCUAAGAGUCACACUUGGGACUGGUGAGAGGCACCCACCCAGCCCUGGCAUCCUGGAUGGGGAGCGACUGGGUGAGUCCGGCCCCUGGCCCCCAUGCCCGCUGGCUGUCACAUCACAUUAAAGUCUGAGGCUCAUGUGAUGCACGUGGCAUGCCUCUGGCCCCCUUCAUCUUUGAGCUGGAAAGUCAAUUAAAGGUGGGGGCUUCCAUCUAAUCAGACCCAUCACGACCCUGAUGGGCUUGUCCAUCUCCAUAGGCCCCAGGCAGGUCCCCAUCAGGUGCUAAGGCUGGGCCCUCAAGGACACAGGAACCACCGCCUCCAGUGUACCGAUUGCUGGAUGCCCAGCCCAGGCUAACCUGGAGCCCCUUCUCUGUCCUGACUUUGGCACAAAAUCCUCCUCCAGGGUCACAGCCCCAGACCCCACCCUGCCCCACUGAACCUCAGGGCAUCUGCUGGACAUGAAGGUGUCGGUUUUCCCUGCCCCCUUGUGCCUCUGGUCUUGGGAGGAGGGUUGUGAGAGCCCACCUCACAUGAUGUGGGAGCAGGACCCCUGGAGGCCGGGGACCCCACUGGAAGGUUCACUUUUCCGUGGGCUGCAGGCACCUGGGGCAGCGAGGUUUGCCUGGAUCUCCCCAGGGAGGGGUCCCAUUGGGCAGGACUGGCUGGCAGUCACCAGUGUCUUUGGGGUCACUAUCUAUUUCUAUUUCUAGGGGACCCUGGGAGGAGACCCUGGGCACUGGGGAAGGAACAGGGCAGGAGUGAAGUCCGAGGGCUGGGUGGAGGCUGACCACUGCCCUAUCGGCAAAGCUUCGCAGCGCCCAGAGGCAGCGUCCACCCUGGCCACCAUCACCCGGGACGACCAGCCCAGCCCCACAGACCCUGGUGCUCUGAGGUAGGGUGGGGGUUUGGUGGGACCAGGGGCUUGGGAGCUCCCAUGAGACCCAGCAGCACAGGGUCCCAUCCCCACACCCAGGGGCCUUUUAGAGGGUGCCCCCACCCCGCUCCCCCACGUGCACUCACACCCCCUGCCCCCAGCACUGCCAGGGGGUUUCCAAUGAAGGGAAAGGGGCACCCCCUCUGCACCCUCUGCUUGGUCCCAAGAGCCCUGGGGAGUGCUUUAGAAUGCCCUGGAAACCCCAGCAGCACACGGGUGCCUCAGAGCACACUGCAGGCACCCAGGGCAGGGACAGGGCUCUGGGACCACCUCUGCUCCCUGCCAUGCCCCCAGGGACCUCCCAAGUCCUGGGAAGAUCCUUGGGGUGGGGUUGGCCAGAGAGGGAGGAUGUUCUCCCCACACCUGGUGAGGCCCCCAGGACCCUCGAUCCCGGCUCUCAACCCACCACUCCCUUCAGAUGCCUCCUUUCAUCAGAGAUCCUUUCAUCCACCCCACCCUGGGCAGGUGGGGAAACUGAGGCACAGCAAAGGGCAGGACUUACCCACAGGCAUCAGUGAGUCUCAGCUGGAAUGGGGAGUCCCAUGGCUGGCUCAGCCCCUGUACCCCUGGCCCAUCCCUCCCCACCCAGCCACCUCAAGACUCAAGGCCCUAGAUGCUGAGCCAGCGUCACGCCCCAAGGCAGCAGGGGAGACCCGCCCAGGGAGCCUUCUGUACCAGGUCUCUGCUGAGCCAUGGCCUCUUCAGGAGGCUUUCCUGAUGCCUGAGUUUCCAACCACACCCCCUGCACCCUCACCCAGUGACCCUGGUGUCUUAUUGGUUCCUUGUCUUCCCACCUCCCCCCUGGAAUGCAAAUUCCGUGGCAGGAGUUCUGUGUCCAUUUUAGCAGGAAGACGAAGGGCUGGGCUCCAGUCUCAGCAUCACCAUUCCUGUGCUCACUCCUCACUCGCUGUUCACUCACUCAUUCAGCACCCAGUAGUUCAGGCCAGGCUCAGUUCUGGGCGCCAGACUCAUUGAGGAGGAAAUGAGACAGGAGGAGGGUGCAGACAGGGCUCCUGCCCACGCACCAGGAGUCCCCAUGGCUGGCUGUCGCGUCUGCUCCUCGGCCCCAGGCAUCCAGGAAUCAGGAGCAGGGCAGGACCAGGGUACGCCCCAGGGAGCCCCGCACCUGUCUGAGGCUCCAUGGGGCUCUCGUGCCCCUUACUUAUGGGGGGGGGCAGGUAGAGCCCGCACCCCAGGGCCUCUCCUUCCAGUCAUCCCUGUGAUGUGGGCUGGGAUCCAGGGAAGCCGCCUCUCCUGACUCAGCCAGAGCCUGUGUCCAGGGACCCCAGGGCUCCUGCAGGGUGCCCAACCUCAGGGCCCAGGGGAGGGCCCGGCAGGAGCUUCAGAGGCAUCUGUGCAUGCCUCCCCCCAGUGCAGAUGGGGAAACUGAGGCUCAGCCUCUCCCCAAACCCAACUCUGCCGCAGCAAGAGGAGCCUCCAUCACCUGGCUAUCCCUUGAGACCUGCCCCUGCGCCCACCGUUCCCUCCCAGGGGCUGCCCACCCCACCACAUCGCCGACACCCGGAGCUCCCGGCCAGGACACCUCCCGAUGGGCUGAGGAAUCCCUGAUCACAUUUCCUCCUCUUCUUGAGAGGGAGAUCUCUGGGGUCCCGAGCAUGGGAGAGAUGCUGAGAACCAGGGUGCUUGAGCCCAGGCCUGGAGGGUGGGAGGCAGGGUCGUCCUGAAAGCCCACCUUGAGGCCCCCCCUCCUCUCCUCUGCAUUCUUGGUGGCCUCAGCCCCCUGCUCUGUGGGAGCCCCGGGCUGGGAAGUGGGCUCAGAGGCAAAGCAGCCUGGGCCUCACCCCCUGGGGCUCAUGGUCCAGUGAGGGAGCUGAGUCUAAAAGCCACUGUCAGCGUCAUGUGGUGAGGGCUGGGUAUGGGCAGCAGAUGUGGGCUGGGGCUCUGAAGAUGAACAGGAGUCCUGCUGGGGGACAAGGUGAGAAAGGGCAUUCCCGGAGGAAAGAUGUGGGUUGAACAAUAUGGCCGGGAAGUUCUUGGGGUCCAGCCCUGGUGAGGCAUGGAAGGGGGCCUCGACACAGAGCUGGCCGAGGCUGGCCCCUUGAGGGAGGCUGCAGACCCCGGGUGCGUCCUGUGCACGGGAGACUGUGCAGGUGUCAGGCUGGUGGGGAGGGUGGACGGAGUAGACAGGGGCGUGAUGUCUCCCAGGUGGGAGCCUCUGGGAGGUGAGGAGCAGGGCAGGGAGGGCAGAAGGGCGUGGAGAGAGGUCAACUCCAGGGACGCCCAGAGGCGCAGGGCCUGCAGGAGUCGGUGUCCGACUCUCAGGGUGCGGGUAGAGGUGGACGGAGAGGACGGCAACUCCUCAGCCUCAUGCCUGGGACAGACGGGAGAGAACUGGGGGUUGGGACAGGGGUCAGAGGAGGGGCAGAGUGUGCUUGGGCCACCAGGGACUUCCCAGAGGCCCAGGUGCCUGCUCAAAUCCAGGCUUGUCCUGGGAGCAGAACUGGGGGUGCUGUGGGCGCCCAGACCUGGUUUUGUCUAGCUCCAGACCAGGGUAUCAGUUCUCGUCUCAGACGUCUCCCCAGCGCCCCGUGCCCAGUCCCCCACCAGCCCUCCCAACUCCUCCUCCACAACUCCCCCACCGCCUCUGCUCCCUGGCAAAAUCAGGGCCCUGGGAGGCAGCUGUGUGCCACGCUUCACCUUGCUGCACCCACACCGGGACCCCUUGUGGGCAUGGAGAGGCUGCCUCAAGAGGCUCCUCAGAGGUCUGCUCCCUCCAGGCACAUGCUCUCACCUCGGCACCCCGCCCUCACUCUGGCUCCCCUGCUCUGCCUAGUCCAGACAGCAGCUAGGGACACCCCUAGCUGCCCAUGACACCACGGUCACGGUCGCCCCCUCCCUGCACCCUCUGGGGCCCCUCACCAAAUCCCCCCCCCCGCCCCCCAAGGCCUGCCCAUCAGCCCAGACUUGCCUCUCCAACUCAUGUCUCCCUUUGCUACAGCCACACCAACCCCUUUGCGUCCCUGCUUAUUCCAGCUCCUUCCAUCCCAGAGCCCCACGCAGGCCAUUCCCUCUGCCGGCUCAUCCUGGGAGGUCAUCCUGAUGUCUCUCCUGUCCUCAGAAACAAUCUCAGCUCAUACCUGUGCCGUGCUCCCUGGUGUCUGGCCCUCACCUCACCUACAGGCCCUCCUGCCAUCCUAACCCUCACAGUUACGCUGUGUGAAUAGACGGUCAGGGCCCUAGGGACCACGGCUUUACAGGUCAGGAGACCAGGCGGAGAGCUGGGGCCAGGCCAAGGGAGGCCACCUCUCCAGAAGGAGCAAAGGAGGGUUGGACCAAACAAGUGGCUCCGGCCACUUGGCAAUGAUUCAAUGCUGCCUCCCUGGUUUCAGCUCCAAGAGAGACUUCUGGGAAAUGUUGAAGGUGGAGGGCUCCUCCUGCCCCUGGUUCAACAAGCAAAUGGACAAUCCCAGCCCUCGGAAUGGGACCAGCACCCAGGGGGCCUUUGGGAGCAUCGGGGGCCUCCUGGCUCCACGUUGGGCAGCUGGGCCCGGGGACCAUUGGCCAAGAGCAGGAGAAGGUGAGGAUGGACGGCUGGGAAAGAGAAGAAAGAGGAAAGGGCAGAGCAGCCCAAGAAAGAGGAAGACAAGAUGUGCAGACUCACUGGUGACAGGGAAGAGAAAGUUCCUCAUAGAGGUGUUUACAGGUCAAGACUGGGCCCAGGGGAAGCCAGCAGGACUGAGGAUGGUGAACUCCAUGGAGCACGGAGUGACUAUGCAGUGGGCCAGCCACUCUGGAAGGCAGUUUGGGAGUAAAUGUUAAAUGUCUUAGACCAUUGCACCCUUUGAUCAGGCAAUGUCGUGUAUGAAUUCCACCCUGGAAGUAAGUAUUCUCAUUCCAACGGGAAGAGGUGGACGUACAGGAGAGGACAUCAGCCUUUGAAGGUGCCAGAGAACAUUGGAAAUAACCUAAGUGCCGUCGAAGGGGAACUGUCCCUCUUGCCUGCUGCCGUGAUGGAGUAACACAGCCUGGACUUACCCUCUGCCCCCAAAGCAAGAAACUGAAAACCGUGAAUCAGCUGUGUUCAGAAACUAGGCAAAAGGAACUGGGAUCCCCAGCAGACCAGGGCAGUCCUGCUGAGUUAAGAAGAAAGGGAUCAGGCCUCAGGACGGCUGAAGCUGGUGGACACGCAAGCAGAGCUCCCGAAAGGAGGGAGCUGCACAGACAAAAGCUACAGCCAUCGGCAAGGUCCCCUUAGCAUUGGCUCAAGAACCUGCCGUGUGUGUCACGGAUAAAACUCCACAGUACGGCACAGUGAGCCACUAGGAGCUGUGCACCGAGUGACUCCAGAGCUCACACAGGGUGAGGGGACAUUGGAGUGCUGACCAGCUGGACUUGACUGUCCUCAAUGGUCCCUUUGGCCUGCAGGAGAGACCCCAUAGGCCGCGCCUCCCCAGGGCUGAACCGGCCUGGAGUAAGGCUGCUCUAGCCCUAGUGUAACUAAGCUCAGAGUCCCACCCAAGAUCAAAGCGAAGCCCAAGUCACUGAGCACAGGCCGGACACGCACAGCCCUCUCUCCAGGAGGACUGAAAGUAAAAGAGAAAAUUCCAGAUCAUAAAGAAAGUAAAAACACCAUGCCCAGCAUCCCAGCAAAAAUUACCCACAUGCCAAGAAGCAGGAAAAUGUGACCAGCAAAAACGUGAAUCAGGAGAAAUAGACCCAAAGAUGACCGCAAUGAUGGAAUUACCAGACAACACCCUAAGACAGUCUUUCAAACAUUUUUAAAGGGAAAUGUAAACAUAAAGAGGGAAAUGGAAGAUAUAGAAAGAACCAAAUGGAACUUUAUAAAAUCUCCAGUGAAGAAUGAGCUGGGCAGGUGUGUUAGCCGGCUCGGGUGGCCAUAACGAAUACCGCAGUAUCCUGGGUAAACAGCAGGAAUUUAUCGCCUCGCAGGCUGGAGGCUGGAGUCCACGAGCAAGCUGUGGUGGGGCUGGUCUCCCUGAGACCUCUCGGCUUGCCUUGUAGACGGCCUCCUUCUCACCAUGUCCCCACAUGGUCCUUUCUCUGUGCAUGCGCAUCCCUGGGGUCUCUUUGGGUGUCCAAAUUUCCUAUUCUCCAUAGGCCUGCUCUCAGAUUGGAUUAAAGCCCACCCAGAUGGCCUCAGUUACCCUUAAUUACCACCUUUAAGGCCCUAUCUCCAAAUAUAGCCACAUUCCAAGGUAUUGGGGGUUAGGGUUUGAACAUACGAAUUUGGGGGGACGCAAUUUGGCCCAUAAAAGUAGGGUUAACACAGGCUGGACACUUCAAGAUGAUAUCCAUGAACUUGAAGCUAUAGUAAUAGAAACUAUCCAAAAUGAGGUACAAAGAGAAAAAAAGAAAAGGGAAAAAAAAACAGGGCCUCAGUGAUGCCUGGAAAAUAUCAAGCUGUCUAACAUCAAUAUAAGUGGAGUCUUACAAAACAAGAGAGAGGCAAGAACAGAAAAAUUAAAGAAAAAGUAUAAACCUACAAACAAAAGAAUGCCUACAAACCCCAGGAAGGAUAAACAAGAAAGAACAUAUAACAAGGAAAAUCACAAUCAAAUUCCUGAAAAACAGGGAUAAAGGGAAAAACCCCAAAUCAGUCUCAGCGAACACCGUCACAUCCAGAGAAGCAGAGAUAAGGGGCACGGCUGAAUUCUCACCAGAAACAGUGCAAGUCAGGGACGAUAGAAACAUCUAGAACACGCUGGAGAACAUCUCAACUUAGACUUCCAUACACAGUGAAGGUAUUUGCCCAAAAUGGAAGCACAACAAAGACUGAGGACUUCCAUUUCAUGAUUUCUAUAAAAGCUCCGGUCGUCCAUCACCAGCAGACUUUCAUUACAAGAAAUGUGAAAGGACUUUCUUCAAAGACAAGGAAGUCGGUACCCAAUGAAAACGCAUCUCUACUCAAAGGAAUGGAGAGUGAAAGAAAUGGUAAAUAUGUCAGUAAACAUGAGACAUCUUUUUCUCAUUUUUAAAAUUUCUUUUAAAAAUAAUAGAAAGCUUAAAGAAAAAUAACAAUGUGCUGUCAUGGUCACAGCACGUGGAAGUAAAAUCCAUGACAAUAAGAGCAAGAAGCCUGGGGCAGGGAAACGUGAGUGGACUGUGUAAGGUGCUUUUCAUGGUCUGUCAAGCGGGUGAUAGUGGGAGGUGAGGACAGGUGCAUAUUGUAAGCCCUAGAGCAGCCGCUGAUAAAUAAAAUGAAGAUGUGUAGCAAAUAAGCCCACAGUGCAGAUGAAUGAAAUACCCAAAAAACACUCAAUUCGUCAAGAAGAAGGCAUAAAGGAGGAAACAAGAAACAAAGAACAGCAAAUAAUUAUCAAAAUAUGGACCCAAACCCAACCACACAGGAAACUACAUGGAAUGGAAAUGGUCUCAAUCCUCCAGUUAAAUGCAGACAUUGUCUUACUGCAUGCAAAACCAAAACUGUAGGCUGACGUGCAAAGGAUACUGUACACAGAAAGAGACAGCAGCCAAAAGAAGAGGACAGCGAUUGGAGAUUGCAGGGUUCUAGAGGCCGGGGGCUGUGCAGAAACAGAGCCCCCAAAUCUGCAGAGGCAGCUGAGAGACUCCCACAGCCAACGUCUCAGUCGAUGGUGAAGACGGCAUGCUUUCACCCAAGAACAGGACGAGGCAGGGACGCCCACUCAUCCCCUUCUGCACAACACUGCACUGGAGUCUCAGAAAGGGCAACGCGGCAAGAAAAAGAAAGAGAAGGCGCGGCGAUGGGAGCGGAAGGGAAACAUUGCUUCUUCGCAGACAACGUGACCACAUAUAUAAAAGUUCUACAAUGUCUACAGAAAGGCUAAGUGGCCUACACAGCUUAUUUAGUGACGUCACAGGACACAAGGCCAACAGUUUAGAAAAUACAGAUGGGUUUUUGAAAUUUAAAAGAGCAAGAACACACUCACAUUAAAAACAUGAAGCAUCUGGGACAAAUUCAACAGAAUGUGUGCAGGCCUGUGCAGGCCCUGCCGAGGGAGGGGACAGAGGACGCCGUAAAUGGAAAGGUACGAUGCUCACAAAGUGGAAGACUGGGUUUCGGCAAGAUGUCAGUUCUCCCCCAAGUAACCAGAGAUCAAUGUAGUCCCAAUCAAACUGCAGCAGGCUUGUUUGUGGAAAUUGAUACGCUGAUUUUUUACACUCAUGUGAAAACAGAAAGGAGUUAUCGUGGCCAAAACAAUUUUGAAAAGGAAGAGCAGGGCUGAAGGACGUGAGCUGUAAGCCUCGUGGAUCCAGCCCAGAUGGUGUAGGCAGGAGGAGUACCAACCGGUCGACGAGACGGAAGAGACGGAGUCCACAAACAGACCCGCUCGUGUGCGAUCACCAGAGUGUUGUCGGAGGCGCCACAGUAAUCCCACAGGGGAAAGGUAAUCUUUGUAGGCAACAGUUGCUGGAACAGGGAGAAUCAAGGCGGCAAAAAUGAAGCUCAGCCUUUACCCUCACCACGAGCAAAAAGUAGCCCAAAGGGACCAUAGGCCUAAAUGUAAAAGCUAAAAUUAUUAAACUUCUGGUAGAAAACAUAGGAGAAAAUCUUUGUGACCUUGAAGUGGGCAAAGAUUUCUUAGAGAGGACAUGAAAGACAUAAACCAUCACAGAAAAACAGAUAAAUUGGACUUCAUCCAAAUUAAAGACUUUGCUCUUCAAAGUUUGAUAUUAAGGAAAUGAGAAGGCAAACCACCUGCUGGGGAAAAUAUCCACAACACACAUGUCUUGCCCAAAAGAUAUAUUUUUUAAAAAUUUCUUACAACUCAAUAAGAAGACAAACAACUCAAUAUUCUUUUAAUGGUCAAGAUUUUUGAACAGAUCCUUCCCCAAAGAAGACACACAGACGGCACAUGCAAAGAUGCUCAGCAUCAUUAGUCAACAGGGAAAUGCAAAUUAAAAUGACAAGGAGAUACCACUUCACAGCUAUCAGAGUGGCUAAGGGUAAAGUCUGACCAUAUCAGGUAUUGACGAGGAUAUGGCGUUACUGGAUCUGUUGACACUGCUGGUGGGAAUGGAAAGUGGUACGACCACUUUGGAUGACGGUUUGGCAAACGCUUACAAAGUUAACCACACGCUUUCCAUCUGACCCAGCCAUUCCACUCCUAGGUAAAUAACCUAGACAAAGGAAAAUAUACGUCCACACCAAAAGCUGUUUACAGACUUUCAUAGCAGCUUUACGCACAUUAACCAAGAACCGGCAGCCACCCAGACACCAUGAACAGGUGAAUGGAUACACAUAUGGUGGCAUAGUCAUAAAACGGGAUACAACUCAGUGAUAAGAAAGAGUGAUAUUGAUACACAGCGUCAUGGAGGGACCUCGCGGUCAUUAUGCUGAGUGAAGAGGCCGGACCCCAAGGAGCGACAGAGUGUGACUGCGUUGAUGUGAAAGUCUGGAACAGGCAGGUGCAAGGCAGAGGCAGAGAAAGCAGGUCACACAUGCCUGGACCAGGGGUGGGGACUGCCUGGAAGGGGCUCGUGUGGGUCACAGAGGGCUGCCAUGCCAAUGUCCCCUGGCCUGGGUGGCCUAAACAACAGAAAUUUACUUCUCUCAGUUGGAGGCUGGAAGGCUGAGAUCAAGGUGCAGGCUGGCUGGUCUCCUGAGGCCUCCCUCCUUGGCCCGCAGAUGGCCACCUUCUCCCAGUGUCCUCACGCGGCCUUUUCUCUGUGCACCAGCAUUCCUGAUGUCUCUUUCUCUUCUGAAGUCCUACCGGGUCAGGGCCCCAGGCUUACGACCUCAUUUAACCGUAACGACCUCCUGACAGCCCUGCCUCCAAAUUCGGUCACCCUGGGGGUCAGGUCUUCAAUAUAUGAAUUUGGGGGACACAAUUCAGUGCAAAGAGUCUCCAACAAGAACGCGAGUUCCCAAGGACAGGGAGGUUUCUCCGCCACUCACAGCUACGUCCCCAACACCUGGCACAGAGUGGGCACUCGGAACAGACCCACUGGGCAGAUGCGAGGUAGAGGAAAGCCCUCGACAGCCUAGAGCUGGCCUGGCGCUAUCAGCCGGCCUUGGUGUUCUCCAGGUAAAUUAAUGUCAUGGCACGUCAACAUCGACAAGGAUACACAGACAGGUAUGAACUCAGACAAACAGUCACUGUCACGCCACAAAAACAACCAAAUACCGCCGCCCUGGCAAAUACGGGUGACUGCUGCUCCCUCCCUCACCACCCACACAAUGUCAGCCAUGCCCUUCUGCUUACAUCCUCGACAGGAUGCAUUCAGAUCCCCAUCGUGGAGCACCCGCUCCUCCAGCACUCAAUCCAGCACGACCAAAAUCACCCAGCACCCCCUAGAUGCCACCAUUCCUGCCCAACACGUCUCACGAAGGCCCCCGGUCCCCGCAGGUGUGUCCUCUCACUGUGAUGGGGCAGCGUCCCAACUUCUCGGGGCGCAGGUGCGGCGUGGUGGUGGCUGCAAGGUGCUGGCCGCUGUUGGGGUUCUCCAGGUGAAGCAGCCACAAGACGAACCCAGUGCUCUUUCUCUCGCUAAUGUUGACCCCCGGGAGACAGCUCUGGUAAGGUGAUUUGCUAAAAGAUCUGGGACCCCCACACCACCAACUGCGUCCACACCCACUCCCACCCCAGCCCUGAGGGCAGGGAGGCAGAGAGGCUUGAAAGGGGACAGAGAAGCUCAACCUGUGAUGCGUUAAAAAAAAAAAAAAAAAAAAAGCAUGUCUGCGUGUGUAUGUUUCUCUGUGUCCCGAAAAAUUCCGGGUGCCUGUGCCUCAGGGUGGGUGGGGAGAGCUCUCGCCAACAACAAACUUCCACUUUCUGCUGUGGUCUGUUCCGCACUGCGUGAGUUUUUGUAACAUCACGUGUCACUUUUACAAGAAAAAGGCUGAUCAAGAGCCAUAUUAACAGUCAUUGCUGGUGACGGCCGGGCCACCAGGCCAGCCCCACGUACCCCACCAUUUCCCCAGAAGGGAGCUCGGGUCCCUCGAGGAGUCAGGGGGCAGAAAGUAGGACAGAGGUUCAGGGGCUGGGGGAGCGAGAUGAGGAGUUAGCGCUCAAUGGGGACAGAGUUCCUACUGAGAUGACAUAAAAGUUCUGGAGACGGAUGGUGGUGAUGGUUGCACAUUAACGCGAAUGUGCUUAAGGCCACUGAGUUGUACACUUACAAAUGGUUAAAUGGUAAAUCUUACGUAAUAUAUAUUUCAUCGCAAUUUUUAAAAUACAUCAAAUUUGUUUGUUAAAAGAAAGCAGGAGGGAGCCUCGUGGUGCUGGUUCUGUUUUGACCACAUCAGUGUCAACACCCCCACACACACUGCGCAGUAGUUUUGCAAGACGUUACCAACGGGGGAAACUGGGUGAAAGGUACACGGGAUCUUUCUGUAUGAUUUCUUACAACUCCCUGUGAACUAUCUCAAAAUAAAAAGUGCAACAACAAAAAAGUCAGAUGAGAAGCACUCUGAACGGAUGUUUGCACUUCAGUGGCGUACAAAGUUGUCCAACCAGAGCCCGAGGCCCCCGGGCCUCCGUGCACCCCUCACUGUCAGCGGGCGGCCCAGGCACAGCGGGCCAGCCUCCGCCUCAGCCCAAAAACAGGAAACGCCCCGCCGACAGUGGGCGAGCUGUGGCAGAUGUGCGGUUCCUCCUGGCCUAGCGUGCGCUUCCGCCUGCCUUGAAGAGAUAGUUUCUUUUUUAACAGAGACCGUAAUCAUCUUUUUCCCCGAGUUGUCACCAUGGAGUCGAAAGGAUUGCUCUACUUUGCCUUUCUCUUUGUUCAAACAUGGUCGCUGGCUGUAAUUUUACAAAGGAGACGUGGAACAGACGAGGAAGAGAGACGUGCUGACAGAUGGGGCAACUAGAACCCUGACGGUGGCAUGGAGGAGCAAUCAUUAACGGGGGGCUCAGGACCCCGUGAGCUAGAGCCGCACCAGGCCCAGACACAGCAGCAGCAUUAAACAGCACAGCACAUCAAUAGCACAGCCUGCUGCCGUCACCGCCCAACGCUGACCCAUCCUCUCGAGUCCCUCUCUGUGCAAGGUCAGCCUUCCUCCUCGCAGACAAUGCUUCCCCAGAUGGGGGAGACCUCAGAGCGCCUUCCCGUCCUGGGAGCUGCAGAUGCUCGAGCCAGGCUUUCCCCACGGACAGGCUGCAAGACGCCAGGGGGCAGCAAACCCCAGAGCCAGCCUGUGCUCUGGUUUCUCCUGGGCGGUGUCUGUGGCCUCCAC
ensembl:lncRNA